UACGUAGGGUGCGAGCGUUGUCCGGAAUUAUUGGGCGUAAAGAGCUUGUAGGCGGUUUGUCGCGUCUGCCGUGAAAAUUCGAGGCUCAACCUCGAACUUGCGGUGGGUACGGGCAGACUAGAGUGUGGUAGGGGGAGACUGGAAUUCCUGGUGUAGCGGUGAAAUGCGCAGAUAUCAGGAGGAACACCGAUGGCGAAGGCAGGUCUCUGGGCAUUAACUGACGCUGAGGAGCGAAAGCAUGGGGAGCGAACAGG
rnacentral:rRNA from 1 species